AUGAAGGUGGAGAGUGUCAUGUCCGCCGAAGUCGCAGCUUGGGUAGGAGGAGGCAGCACAAUUGCUUGGUUGUGUGUUAAUGGGGGAUCCAUGAUGAAUUUGUAUGGCCAAAGCAUCUUUGAGCAGCGAGCAGCUCAACACUUGAGUCGUCUUGGAAUGAUGGGUUUAGCGCUCCUCUUCUGUUUAUCCAUGUACGCAUGGUUCUUCCCUCACCUCCUGGGCCUAUUCUGGACACUUGUGGGACUGGCUACUGCACUUCAUGCUGCCCUGCGGCUUCUAAGCUGCUUCCGGCAUGAUGAUGAUAGCACCGUCAGAUUGAGCGACGAGGACCUGUGCAUGUGCCCGCGGUGCAAACCCUCAUGCACCUGCUGCAGCAACCGUGGAUCCAGGGCUCAUGCUGUUGAGUCCUUGUGA
rnacentral:rRNA from 1 species